rnacentral:rRNA from 1 species
GACGAACGCUGGCGGCGUGCUUAACACAUGCAAGUCGAACGGAAAGGCCCUGCUUGCAGGGUACUCGAGUGGCGAACGGGUGAGUAACACGUGGGUGAUCUGCCCUGCACUUCGGGACAAGCCUGGGAAACUGGGUCUAAUACCGGAUAGGAGCCAUUUUUAGUGUGAUGGUUGGAAAGUUUUUUCGGUGUAGGAUGAGCUCGCGGCCUAUCAGCUUGUUGGUGGGGUAAUGGCCUACCAAGGCGGCGACGGGUAGCCGGCCUGAGAGGGUGGACGGCCACAUUGGGACUGAGAUACGGCCCAGACUCCUACGGGAGGCAGCAGUGGGGAAGAUUGCACAAUGGGCGCAAGCCUGAUGCAGCGACGCCGCGGGGGGGAGGACGGCCUUCGGGUUGUAAACUCCUUUCGCUAGGGACGAAGCUUUUUGUGACGGUACCUAGAUAAGAAGCACCGGCUAACUACGUG